rnacentral:rRNA from 1 species
UUUCGCAAUGCCCGAAAGGGUGACGAAGCGACGCCGCGUGGGUGAGGAAGGCCUUCGGGUUGUAAAGCCCUGUCAGGAGUUAAGAAAUGUAGACUCGCUAAUAUCGGGUCUAUUUGACAAAGGCUCCAAAGGAAGCCACGGCUAACUCUGUGCCAGCAGCCGCGGUAAUACAGAGGUGGCAAGCGUUGUUCGGAAUUAUUGGGCGUAAAGAGCACGUAGGUGGAUUUGUAAGUCAGACGUGAAAGCCUUCUGUUCAACGGAAGAAUUGCAUCUGAAACUACAAACCUUGAGUGUAGGAGGGGAGAAUGGAACUUCUGGUGGAGCGGUGAAAUGCGUAGAUAUCAGAAGGAACGCCGGCGGCGAAAGCGAUUCUCUGGCCUAUUACUGACACUCAGUGUGCGAAAGCUAGGGGAGCAAACGGGAUUAGAUACCCCGGUAGUCCUAGCCGUAAACGAUGGGCACUAAGUAGAGGGGUUUU